UACGGAGGGAGCUAGCGUUGUUCGGAAUUACUGGGCGUAAAGCGCGCGUAGGCGGUCUGUUGCGUCGGCUGUGAAAACCCGGGGCUCAACUCCGGGCCUGCAGCCGAUACGGGCAGACUAGAGUUCGGCAGGGGAGACUGGAAUUCCUGGUGUAGCGGUGAAAUGCGCAGAUAUCAGGAGGAACACCGAUGGCGAAGGCAGCUCGCUGGGACGGUACUGACGCUGAGGAGCGAAAGCGUGGGGAGCGAACAGG
rnacentral:rRNA from 1 species